GUUGCGUUGUCAGUGGCGCUUUUGCCGUCCUCGAUGCUGGUGCGGCUCAUAAAUUAAGUCCUCAUAACGGAGUGCCGACUAAUAUGUAUACACGAACAAAUGAAAAUCUGCGGUAUAUGUUCGAUCAUAAGCAAAAUUGAAAGCGCUACCGUGAAAUAAACAAGAAAAGUAAAUUGUACGUGUAAUAUACAUACGUAUACGUAUUGUGGUCCGACGUUGUUCCAAUCCAGGAGGUGGUCAUCCAUGAUUUAUACUUCCCGUUCGGACACAAUGUGUGCUUGCGCUACUUGUCAGACAUUUUCAUUGUCACCCCGAAGGAGUUGGGUGAGAGGUGAUUUCAUCAUAUGCCAUCAAAACAACACUAUCUUCCUUCACAUCGUCGUCGUGAUCCUGAUGGUGGCAUCAAAGGAAAAAUGAGACGCCGAGCUUUUGGUUUGAUUGAAGGUUCUCCUGAUAUUUGACAGAUUCGAUUGAAAAUCCUUCGGGGCUCCUGCGUUUCUCCUCCACGGACACUACCGAGGGAACGCCACUCAAGCUGGACGCCAUCAGAAGGAUGUUUGCAGAGUGUGACAGCGGCAAAAGGGUAACUAAAAGAGUGGUGGAUGGCAGGAAAAUAAAUUGAAAGUGCCUCGAACGAAAAUUGACGAGCAGCCACUGCUGAUGUCAAGGUUUGAGUCGGAGGCGAAGUUGGAGUCCGAGUUUGUCUGAUUGGCGAGAGGUGAUUGAACUUAUUUGCAUAAAGUAGCAGGGCUGUAGACUAAUUUCUCUUUAGUAAGGUUGGCGGUGGAAGUGUAGUCAGACCCACACAUCUUGUGGGUUUUCGGGCACAAAAUACGGAUUGACAAUUGCCAAGCUGCAGAAAGGGAAAAACACAUCUGUUUUGCUGAAUUUUCAUUCAAGCAAUUGUUUCCCAGACAGACUCUGAGGUGAGGUGAAUGGUGUCUUGGUACCGUCGACAGAAAAGUUCAAUCAGAAAUUAAAAACACCCGCCGACGAGGCCGAAUAUUGUCUAAUGAACUAAAGCGUACAAAUCUACCCCCUGCAAAGGAAAAUCAUUUUAUACAAUGAGCAAGAAGGAAAAGGAAGAAAGGACAAUGGGAGAUGUUGAUGUGUAACCGGAAUAUUAUAUCGUGUGUCACAGACACACUUGAAGGAUUCGACAGCACUUCAGACAUCUUUUGUGAAGGGUCGACCAUCUCGCCGCCAAAAAAGAAAACGAAAAUAUUAUACCCUUUUUGGCGUGAAAGCGUUUUGUCAUGUUUAAUUUUUUUAAGAGCUAGUGAAUAUUUUCUGUUUAUAAUUAACAAGUUAAUGCACACAUUUUUUAUAUUAAAUAUUUAGAGGAUAAUAGCUAAUAUUACGUUUUUUUGGACUGCCUAUAAUUUAAACGCAUUGAUGACUUUCAUGGGCAGUUGAAAUUCGGAAAUAGUUCAGCUAGAACUAUAAUUGUAUAAUUUUUUU